GAAUAAAAUAUAUGUUGAAAUCCUGAAACAUGUCGAAAAGUAAUAUUGGUUCCACAAAGAAGACAUAGACAAUUUCUGGACUAGGUAAUUUUAAAACACAAAUGGUCUCUGAAUCUGAUUCUUGCUACUUCACCUGGUGUUUGUUUCGCCAUGUCUCUUCUUUUAAAUAAGCUAUUCAGCAACCUCUAGGCCACACAGUAAAAAGCAUCAACCAAAUUUAGAAACUUAGAAUCUUUAAGUAUUCCAGUGAUUUGCUAGUUAGGGCUGAGUUAGUACUUACUCAUUUAGCAUUACAGUAGAAAAUCCAUUAGAAAAUAAAUGGUAGAGAAUUAUUUAGAUGAAUGAAGUUGGAAUUGUGUGGUUGCCCUCUUGAUUUAAAAUUCUUCUUACAAAUUAAAAAUAUUAGCUUAUAGGGCAUAAAACUAUAAACCUUUUUAGAUGAGUUGAACAUUUCUUCAAUGUAUUUUGUGCCACUUUGUUGUUGAAUAAAGAAUUAAGACAUUUAUUUAUUGUACAUCUACUGUACUGUCUUGAAAAUUUGGACAAGGCAUCCAAACCACUAAUAUCUGAGCUUGAGCUUAAAGGGUGCAUCUGUUCACCAACCAGACAAGAAGCAUAGUGGUGAGUACCUAUAAGGCAUGGGAUUUGAAACAAGUGGCACUUGGGACACUGGUAAGUGGUUCACAGAGGCUGCAUGUUCAGGUGACUGCAGGGGUGUGGCCAGGAAUGCAAGUGGGCAGAGGAGGUAGCCAGGUCAUGAAGAGCCUGAGUAUAAACUUUCUGCAUAUUCUGUGCAUAACUAUUUUAUCCUGGAAGAUACAAAAAGAACAGCAGGGGCCACAGUAGGGAAAGUUGUUGGUUUUUAACAGAAUACUGCUGAUGAUGAGUUUGUUUUGACAAAAGAGAUAUAAAAUUAUACUGAAUUUUGAGUACAUUUUAACCCUCAAUAUCAGUCAAAAUUUUGGGUGAUUAAUAUGACCCAAUCAUAAAAAUGUCUUGAUUCCUAACAUGUGUUAAAUUGUGUCUCCUUAAGCCAGACAAGCAGAAGAGUUGGGGAGGAUUAAAUCCCAGCUUCCCGAAGGGGCCUCAAGAAAGAAACAACAGUGAGAAAAGGCGCUUGUUUUUCCUACGCCAGCCUGGGAGGGCGUAUGGGCCCCAUGACAAGCAGGGCCAGUUCCAAUGGCCUCGGGGAGCUGAGUGGCGAGCAGGGCUGGGCUCUGUGUUUGGCAUUGUAUGUGCACAAUGUUAUGAUGAAUCGCUGGGAGACACAAAUGCUGCUGCUUCUCCAGCUGCCCCGCCCACUCUUCAUGUAAACAGGAUCUCCCAGGGGCUGGCAGCACAGCCCCCAGAGGACCCACUGCUAAGGGCUGGCCACUGCCAUGCACAUCCCUCCAUCCUGAGAUGAAGCCUGCCCAACUUCUGACCACAUCCUGCCCCGAGGCAACAA